UUUGGAAUAAACAAUGAAACCAAGUCGUAUUUAAUUAUUAUUGCAUAUUAUUUCUACCUUGAUUAUAGUUGCUUCAAACUAAUAAAUUAGUUUUCAACAACUAAAUUUUAGUUUGUUUCCAUCAAAAACCAGGUUGUUUAUUGUUGAUUUGCAUUAUUCAAAUCAAACAUGUGUUCUAGGUUGAUUCAACCAAAGCAAAUAUUUAAAUCAAGCUAAAUUUGUGUUUGCUGUAAAUAUAACCAAAAUAUUAGUUUGAAUCAAAUAGUUUGAAAGGAAACUAAUAACUAUUGUCGGAUUUUUUAAGCAAAAUCAUGCCGCUGUUCUCCGCUCCCGGGUUUGGAGUUUGUCCCAUUAUGGGUGCAUCUGCGAUACGAAUUACGAUUACUGCCGGGUCGUCGAAUAGAAAUUGCGACUUUCAAUACUAUUCAGCGGCAAGCAAUCCAGGAAAUCGAAUCAGCUAGAAUGCCGAUCGGGGUUUCGACUCAGAUUUCGAUGGGGAAUCGAAUAGGAGACGUUUGUAGCCGCGGUCAUUUAACCUUUUGUGAAGUUUUAAGUUUAUUCUACUGUCUACAGUUGGAUGAAAAAUGCCCAUAUAACCGAGGUGAAAAAAUCCUUACAGUAAUAAAAAAAUAAUACUUUGUGCUGAUCCGCAAGCAGGAAGAGCCGGGUUUAUACGGUUUGGAAUCAUUACGAGGGAACUGGAUCCACUGAAGCACAAUGGCAUUUUGUUAUGGGCUGAUAUAUAAUCAAAUGAACAAUAUGUGUUGUAGAACAUUUGUAUAAAUCUAUACAUAUCCAUUACUCCGUAGAAAUGUGCAUAUAAAUUGCAACCGUAUAAAUAAAA